rnacentral:antisense_RNA from 1 species
UCAAUGGUGGGCUGGGCAGGGGCAUCGAAAGAUGCGCCGGUACCCGUUUAGGCCGGUAGACCAACCCUGUUCAGCUCACCACCA